rnacentral:rRNA from 1 species
UGGGUCAGUCCGAGUGAUUUCUGAUAAAGGAAUCUUUUGCCCGUCCUAAAAGCACGGGCGAAUAAGGGGUGGGCAAGUCUGGUGUCAGCCGCCGCGGUAAUACCAGCACCUCGAGUGGUCAGGACGAUUAUUGGGCCUAAAGCAUCCGUAGCUGGUUUUGCAAGUCUCCGGUUAAAUCCACCUGCUUAACAGAUGGGCCGCUGGAGAUACUACAAGACUAGGGAGUGGGAGAGGCAGACGGUAUUCGGGGGGUAGGGGUAAAAUCCUCUGAUCCUUUGAGGACCACCAGUGGCGAAGGCGGUCUGCCAGAACACGUUCGACAGUGAGGGAUGAAAGCUGGGGGAGCAAACCGGAUUAGAUACCCGGGUAGUCCCAGCUGUAAACGAUGCAGACUCGGUGAUGCAUUGGCUUCUUGCCAAUGCAGUGCCGCAGGGAAGCCGUUAAGUCUGCCGCCUGGGAAGUACGGUCGCAAGAUUGAAACUUAAA